AAGAAGGCAGUGUGGCUGGAGAAGGAGGAGAAGGCCAAGGCGCUGCGGGAGAAGCAGCUCCAGGAGCGCCGGCGCCGGCUGGAGGAGCAACGUCUUAAAGCCGAGCAACGCCGUGCAGCCCUGGAGGAACGUCAGCGGCAGAAGCUCGAGAAAAACAAGGAGCGCUAUGAGGCAGCCAUCCAACGGUCAGUGAAGAAGACGUGGGCCGAAAUCCGGCAGCAGCGCUGGUCCUGGGCAGGGGCCCUGCACCACAGCUCUCCAGGACAUAAGACCAGUGGGAGCAGGUGCUCCGUGUCGGCAGUUAACCUGCCCAAACACGUGGACUCUAUAAUCAACAAGCGGCUCUCAAAGUCCUCUGCCACGCUCUGGAACUCCCCCAGUAGAAAUCGCAGCCUACAGCUGAGCGCAUGGGAGAGCAGCAUCGUGGAUCGUCUGAUGACGCCCACUCUCUCCUUCCUUGCUCGGAGUCGCAGCGCGGUCACACUGCCCCGCAACGGCCGGGACCAGGGUAGGGGCUGCGACCCUGGGAGAGGCCCCACGUGGGGCCGGGCAGGGGCCAGCCUGGCGCGCGGGCCGCAACCCGACCGCACUCAUCCCUCUGCAGCCGUGCCGGUGUGCCCGCGCUCGGCCUCCGCCAGCCCCCUGACGCCGUGCAGCGUCCCCCGAAGCGUGCACCGCUGCGCCCCCGCCGGUGAGCGCGGGGAGCGCCGCAAGCCCAACGCCGGGGGCAGCCCCGCUCCGGUGCGCCGCCGGCCGGAGGCCUCGCCGGUGCAGAAAAAGGAGAAGAAGGACAAGGAGCGGGAAAACGAGAAGGAGAAGAGUGCCCUAGCCCGGGAGCGCAGCCUCAAGAAGCGCCAGUCGCUGCCCGCCUCCCCACGUGCCCGCCUCUCCGCCAGCACCGCCUCU
rnacentral:sRNA from 1 species